rnacentral:rRNA from 1 species
AUUGAACGCUGGCGGCAGGCUUUACACAUGCAAGUCGAACGAGUGGCGGACGGGUGAGUAAUGUCUGGGAAACUGCCUGAUGGAGGGGGAUAACUACUGGAAACGGUAGCUAAUACCGCAUACUAUCGGAUGUGCCCAUAUGGGAUUAGCUAGUAGGUGGGGUAAAGGCUCACCAAGGCAACGCUCCGUAGCUGGUAUGAGAGGAGGACCAGCCACACUGGAACUGAGACACGGUCCAGACUCCGACGGGAGGCAGCAGUGGGGAAUAUUGGACAAUGGGGGAAAGCCUGAUGCAGCCAUGCCGCGUGUGUGAAGAAGGCCUUCGGGUUGUAAAGCACUUUCGGCAGGGAAGCGGUACUCGCAGAAGAAGCACCGGCUAACUCCGUGCCAGCAGCCGCGGUAAUAC